UAUUGUUGUUGUUGUUGUAGUUCUUUUUAUUUUUUAUUUGUUCUUGUUCUUGUUCUUGUUCUGGUUGUUCUUGUUCUUGUUCUAGUUGUUCUUGUUGUUCUUAUUAUUCUCUUUAUUACUCUUGUUUUUCUCGUUGUUGUUCUUAUUGUUGUUGUUAUUGGUGUUCUUGUUGUUGUUAUCAUUGUUAUCGUUGUUCUUGUUAUUAUUGUUGUUGUUGUUAUUGUUUUUCUUGUUGUUGUUAUUUUUAUUUUUUUUCUUGUUGUUCUUUUUCUUGUUGUUCUU
rnacentral:lncRNA from 1 species